GCACUACUUUUGAGCUGUAGAAGUCUAUGUGGCUUGUAUCAGUCAAGCAGUAGUGCCAAAGAAAAUGUGUUUGAACAUAACUCAAGCCAGGAUCAUUUCUGACCUUGUUUAAUUUAAUACAACAUCU